ACCCGUUUCGUAAAGGUGAAUAAAUUGGUUUGUUUUUUAAACUUGAUCAUCAUAUCUGUGUUUCGGCUUGCGGUCUCAACCCGAAGUUUCAUACGUGGCCUUGGAAUCAAAAGAGAGGUGAUUCGAGACUAGGCCCGUCUCGUUUUUUAAAAGGUGGACUUGAAAAUCGAAUGGACAAAACUAAAUACACUAAAAAAAAUCAGGCACUGUCAGAGCUAGUCCUGAAAUGCCCCAAUUCCUUUCCAGAUCUAUGGUUCUAUACAAAACCAUUUAAUAGUCAUCUUAAGAAUUUAGUUUACUUUUUUGUAUUAGCCAAAGUUGAGGAGAUGCGUUCACCAGGCGUAGGCGGCGUAAUUCGUUCUUUUCGUAGCGUGGAACAUUAUACUUGAAGUUGUCCUCAUCAAGGACGCCUAGUAACCAAAUACUUGGUUUUUGGAAGAAAGGAAAUUCGAACAAGAGCUUUAUAGACCAUGGAAGAAACGAUAAUUUAAAAACGGCUCUUGUGAACAUACAUAUACUUUAAUUAUUGUAAAUGAAAUCGGAUGGGUAGACAGACGAACUACUCUGCUAUUUUAUUUAGAAGAAACAUUGCGUCAGAACAAAUUACCGCAGCUCAUUCAUUUCCUUUGCCAAAAAAUUCGGAAUUAAAUUCAAUUCGUAUAACGAAGAUUAUUUACAAAGCUGAAUAUAAAACCGGUUUAAAUAUUUUGUAGUCAAUGCAUUUCACUAUACAUGUAUGUAUAUCUUUUUCAUUUUCUUAGAAGAUCAACAAGCUGCCAGUUACGAAUAAACCGUAUUAUUUUUGCUAAGCUUAUUUUCUUAGUUGAAUAUUACGAGUAUAACACUACGUAAUUUAAGCAAUUAUUUAUUUAGAUCGAUUAAUACGCAAAUAAAUAAAAUUAGAUUCACGGUGUGA